AGUCACUGACAUUAGAUACCCCCGUAGUCCAGGGUGUAAACGCUGCAGACUUGGUGUUGGAGGCCCUUUGGGGGCAUUCAGUGCCGGAGAGAAGUUGUUAAGUCUGCUACUUGGGGGGUACGUCCGCAAGGAUGAAACUUAAAGGAAUUGGCGGGGGAGCACCGCAACGGGAGGAGCGUGCGGUUUAAUUGGAUUCAACACCGUAAACUCACCAGGGAAGACUGUUACAUGAAGGCCGAGAUGAAGACUCUGCUAGAUUUUCAG
rnacentral:rRNA from 1 species